GGGGACGUUCUUGGAUUCGACAGGGGUCCCCGAGCUUAUUAAGCGUGUCGGAGGGUUGGCUCCGUCAUCAACACAUUUCGGUUAAAUAUAACUGACAAAUCAAACAAUAAUUUCGCAGUAGCUGCGUAAUAGCCACUGCAUCGCCUAACAGCAUCUCCUACGUGCUGUUAACGCGAUUCAACCCUAGUAUUGCUUAGCAUGAUGCGAAAAUUAUCAAUAAACUACACACGUAGAAAGAUUUGUAUCAGGACCUCUGGACGCGGGUUCGAAUCCCGCCGUCUCCAUUA
rnacentral:tmRNA from 1 species